UGCGUAGGGGUUCUGAGAGGAAGGUCCCCCACAUUGGAACUGAGACACGGUCCAAACUCCUACGGGAGGCAGCAGUGAGGAAUAUUGGUCAAUGGCCGGAAGGCUGAACCAGCCAAGUCGCGUGAGGGAAUAAGGCCCUACGGGUCGUAAACCUCUUUUGCCAGGGAGCAAUGCCGUCCACGUGUGGACGGAAGGAGAGUACCUGGAGAAAAAGCAUCGGCUAACUCCGUGCCAGCAGCCGCGGUAAUACGGAGGAUGCGAGCGUUAUCCGGAUUUAUUGGGUUUAAAGGGUGCGUAGGCGGCCUGCCAAGUCAGCGGUAAAAUUGCGGGGCUCAACCCCGUACAGCCGUUGAAACUGCCGGGCUCGAGUGGGCGAGAAGUAUGCGGAAUGCGUGGUGUAGCGGUGAAAUGCAUAGAUAUCACGCAGAACCCCGAUUGCGAAGGCAGCAUACCGGCGCCCGACUGACGCUGAGGCACGAAAGUGCGGGGAUCAAACAGGAUUAGAUACCCUGGUAGUCCGCACAGUAAACGAUGAAUGCUAGCUGUCCGGGGGGAUUGACCCCUGG
rnacentral:rRNA from 1 species